rnacentral:rRNA from 1 species
ACACAUGCAAGUCGAACGGAAAGGCCCUGCUUGCAGGGUGCUCGAGUGGCGAACGGGUGAGUAACACGUGGGUGAUCUGCCCCUUACUUUGGGAUAAGCCUGGGAAACUGGGUCUAAUACUGGAUAGGACCAUGCUGUAGGUGGUGUGGUGGAAAGAUUAGUUUCGGUAAGGGAUGAGCUCGCGGCCUAUCAGCUUGUUGGUGGGGUAAUGGCCUACCAAGGCGUCGACGGGUAGCCGGCCUGAGAGGGUGGACGGCCACAUUGGGACUGAGAUACGGCCCAGACUCCUACGGGAGGCAGCAGUGGGGAAUAUUGCACAAUGGGCGCAAGCCUGAUGCAGCGACGCCGCGUGGGGGAUGACGGCCUUCGGGUUGUAAACUCCUUUCAGCCAUGACGAAGCCUUCGGGUGACGGUAGUGGUAGAAGAAGCACCGGCUAACUACGUGCCAGCAGCCGCGGUAAUACGUAGGGUGCGAGCGUUGUCCGGAAUUACUGGGCGUAAAGAGCUCGUAGGUGGUCUGUCGCGUCAUUUGUGAAAGCCCGGGGCUUAACUCCGGGUUGGCAGGUGAUACGGGCAUGACUGGAGUACUGUAGGGGAGACUGGAAUUCCUGGUGUAGCGGUGAAAUGCGCAGAUAUCAGGAGGAACACCGGUGGCGAAGGCGGGUCUCUGGGCAGUUAACUGACGCUGAGGAGCGAAAGCAUGGGUAGCGAACAGGAUUAGAUACCCURGUAGUCCA